GACGAACGCUGGCGGCGUGCCUAAUACAUGCAAGUCGAACGCAGUGGGGACGGGUGAGUAACACGUGGGUGACCUCCCAUCAGAGGGGAUAACACUUGGAUACAGGUGAUAAUCCGCUCCUGAUGGAUGGACCCGCGGUCCAUUAGCUAGUUGGUGAGGUAACGGAUCACCAAGGCCACGAUGCAUAGCCGAGCUGAGAGGGUGAUCGGCCACACUUGGACUGCGACACGGCCCAGACUCCUACGGGAGGCAGCAGUAGGGAAUCUUCGGCAAUGGACGAAAGUCUGACCGAGCAACGCCGCGUGAGUGAAGAAGGUUUUCGGAUCGUAAAACUCUGUUGUUAGAGAAGCGGUAUCUAACCAGAAAGCCACGGCUAACUACGUGCCAGCAGCCGCGGUAAUUC
rnacentral:rRNA from 1 species